UACAGAGGGGGCAAGCGUUGUUCGGAAUUACUGGGCGUAAAGGGCGCGUAGGCGGCCCGCUAAGUCGAACGUGAAAUCCCCAGGCUCAACCUGGGAACUGCGUCCGAUACUGGCAGGCUUGAAUCCGGGAGAGGGAUGCAGAAUUCCAGGUGUAGCGGUGAAAUGCGUAGAUAUCUGGAGGAAUACCGGUGGCGAAGGCGGCAUCCUGGACCGAGAUUGACACUGAGGAGCGAAAGCCAGGGGAGCAAACGGG
rnacentral:rRNA from 1 species